CACGCAGGCGGUUCUGCGCGUUUCGAGUGACAGCGGGUGGCUUAACUGCCCGAGUAUUCGAAAGACAGCAGGACUUGAGGACCAGAGAGGGACACGGAAUUCCGGGUGGAGUGGUGAAAUGCGUAGAGAUCCGGAGGAACACCGAGGGCGAAGGCAGUGUCCUGGCUGGUAACUGACGCUGAGGUGCGAAAGCCAGGGGAGCGAACGGGAUUAGAUACCCCGGUAGUCCUGGCCGUAAACGAUGACCACCAGGUGUGGGAGGGAUCGACCCCUUCCGUGCCGGAGUUAACACACUAAGUGGUCCGCCUGGGGAGUACGGUCGCAAGAUUAAA
rnacentral:rRNA from 1 species